rnacentral:tRNA from 3 species
GCGGGAGUGGCGAAAUUGGUAGACGCGCUGGAUUUAGGUUCCAGUGUCUUACGACGUGAGAGUUCGAGUCUCUCCUUCCGCACCA